UAGCGGUGCGCCUAACACAUGCAAGUCGAGCGAUAUAGCGGCGAACGGGUGAGUAACACGUUGGAACCUGCCCCAGACUCAGGGAUAGCCCACCGAAAGGUGGAUUAAUACCGGAUGCCCCAGCAAUGGGAAAGAUUUAUCGGUCUGGAGGGGCCUGCGCAGUAUCAGCUUGUUGGUAAGGUAAUGGCUUACCAAGGCUACGACGCUUAACUGGUCUGAGAGGAUGAUCAGUCACAAUGGAACUGAGACAAGGUCCAUACUCC
rnacentral:rRNA from 1 species